UUAUUUUGUUGUUUUGCCCCCCAAGGUCUCCCAGAGCAGAACCGUUACUGCAGCACUCUUAAUGCUUAAGCUGUGGAGUGAAAAUGUCCUGAAGGAAACAGACCACUUUCCAAUAAGCUAUUGGAGUCCUAGGUCCUAAGUCCUUCUAGGUAGGCCAUAAAGCACUCCUUGCUCUCAGGGAAAGCUAUUUACACUCAGCACCUGUAGAAGAACAAGUGGGAUUGGAAGAGACACAGAGCCACCAACAUCCAAGUCUACUUUCUCCACACCUAACAAAGGUAGGCUAAAAGCAGUUAAUACACAGAAUGUUUUUGAAAGCAGAACCCCUAGUUUGCCUGAAUACCAACAGGUAGGGAGAGUGAGAUUAAUGCAGGCGAUAAGAAAAAGAACUGUUUUCCAGUUUUGUUUGUUUAGUAGCUGUGAAGUGAGGGAGGGAGAACUGUAGAUAUGAGAGGACUGAGGAAGAGCAUAUUUGUUUGCAGUAUUUUUUUUGCUCUGUGUGAGAACACUGAGGAAGAGGGUGUUAGCUCUUGAUGCCAUAAAAGAAAACAGCUCUGUAGUGAAAUUGCAGAUGAAAGCAUCUGUUUGGAAGGGGUGUGUGUACAGAGGUUGGAAGGUGGUGGCAGUUGUAAAGAUCUUGUGUUAGCAGCAGAUGGCUUGUUUUCACAUCUCAUGAAGGAAUCACUGUUACAUCCAGGUCUCACAGAGGGUAAAUUAUUUUACUUAUUUAGAAAUCCUAAUGAAAAUAUCAACAUAUGCUUGAUUCUUUUCAGAAAUUCUCUCCCUUUAAUCAUUUUCCAUCGAGAGAGCCUGUCUUUUCUUCUGCUUCUUUCAGUUUUUUUCUAGGGAGCAUCUGGACUACUCUUCUGCAUAUAGAAUGAUUAGCAGGCAGCCGAUCAUUGAUAGGUUGUGUGCAGAACAAUGCUGGCAGUCCCAGUGCUGCCUUUGAAGUCUUUCAGAGCAACUCACUUUUCUUCCUAGAGUUAGCUGCCAUUGUGGUAACGUGGGCUUGUUUCUUCCUGAUAGACUUUAUUUGGAAGAAGAAAAAAGCUCUGACGUUUUAUUUGUAAGAGAGGUAUAUUGUGAGCCAUGUCUUCAAACAUUAUUUCAAUACUAGUUCUAACCCCUGGAGUUGCUUAGCAAACUGAAGAAAAUCCUGGCCUACAAAAUGUUAUCUGUGCUUCCUAUUGAGGAUUGCCACUGGGAUUCUAUUUUCUGUUGUUCACAUUAUGGUGGGAAAUGUAUUAACAGCAGAAGGAUCUUUCUGAAACAUUUGACUAAAUAAAAACCUUUACACUGCUUGUAGAGCUGUUCGCUGUGUGAUUGUAUGUUGACUCUUACAUUCUUGAGAAUACAAGCGUCCACUUUGAACAAAAUCCACAGGGCAGGAGUUCACAGAGCAAGUCUCAGUCCCACUCUGGGAAAGUUGGAUGUU
rnacentral:lncRNA from 1 species